rnacentral:rRNA from 1 species
GAUGAACGCUGGCGGCGUGCCUAAUACAUGCAAGUCGAGCGAACAGACGAGGAGCUUGCUCCUCUGACGUUAGCGGCGGACGGGUGAGUAACACGUGGAUAACCUACCUAUAAGACUGGGAUAACUUCGGGAAACCGGAGCUAAUACCGGAUAAUAUAUUGAACCGCAUGGUUCAAUAGUGAAAGACGGUUUUGCUGUCACUUAUAGAUGGAUCCGCGCCGCAUUAGCUAGUUGGUAAGGUAACGGCUUACCAAGGCAACGAUGCGUAGCCGACGUGAGAGGGUGAUCGGCCACACUGGAACUGGACCACGGUCCAGACUCCUACGGGAGGCAGCAGUAGGGAAUCUUCCGCAAUGGGCGAAAGCCUGGCGGAGCAACGCCGCGUGAGUGAUGAAGGUCUUCGGAUCGUAAAACUCUGUUAUUAGGGAAGAACAAAUGUGUAAGUAACUAUGCACGUCUUGACGGUACCUAAUCAGAAAGCCACGGCUAACUACGUG